rnacentral:tRNA from 1 species
GGAGCUGUAGCUCAGUGGUAGAGUGCUUGCCUGGCAUGUGUAAGGCACUGGGUUCAAUCCUCAGCACCA